rnacentral:rRNA from 1 species
UACGGGGGGGGGCUAGCGUUGUUCGGAAUUACUGGGCGUAAAGGGCGCGUAGGCGGUCUGCUAAGUUGGAUGUGAAAACUCUGGGCUUAACCCAGAGCCUGCAUUCAAUACUGACAGGCUAGAGUUCUGGAGGGGAUAGCGGAAUUCCUGGUGUAGCGGUGAAAUGCGUAGAUAUCAGGAGGAACACCGGUGGCGAAGGCGGCUAUCUGGACAGAAACUGACGCUGAGGCGCGAAAGCUAGGGGAGCAAACAGG